rnacentral:lncRNA from 1 species
UCCGCCGGAAGAAGUCUACUCAUCUCCACAAGAUCUUAUCCAGAUUUCUUCUAUUUUGCUGGCCAUUUGGUUUCCAGUCGUUCAAAUCUAAGAUGGAGGUUUGGACGUUUGAAGAAAUACAUAAUGCCUUAAAUUAUGCUUCUCAAAACCAUGGAAAGCACAACUAGCUAGGGAAAGCAAAGGUAAUUGCAUUAUGGAGUUAUAAUUUGCUACUACUUUUAGGUCUUGAAUGAGUAGCAUAGCAAUGUGUACUAUUUACCCCAUGUCUACUCAAGUGAUGGCUACACUGCUCAAGAGCAUAUCAUUGAAGGGAUAGGGUUAAUGACAAAUAUGAAGAGGGUCGUGACAUAAGUCAUCUUUUUGAAUUCAUGUUUGGGAAUAUUGAUGGUUUUGGUGAUCUUGAUAUUGAUAACCUUGAUGAGAGGAGCGUCUUGCUACCCUAGCUUAUAUACUUGGAUCAUAUUUUAACAUAUAUGAUAUUAUAAGUGGAUACUGAUUGAACAAUACGAGGAAUGAGAAAUCCAAGCGUUGACCGAGGAAGACUAUCUCAUACCAAAAUCCGAUUAUGUUUCUACAACAGUAACUUCAUCGUUAGUUACAUCAUCUACAUUGUUUUGAUGAUGAAAAUUAUGAUGAAGAAGAAUUACUGAACAAAUUACGUGUGAUGUGAUAUGUGAUGUGAUAUGUAAUGUCAUUUAUAUUUCGAUUAUUUAUAAUGU